AGUGAACUCUGGCGGCGUGCCUAAUACAUGCUAGUCGAACGGAGUGGCGCAAGGGUGAGUAAAGUAUAGCUAAUCUGCACUACACUAGGGGAAAACAGUUGGAAACGACUGCAAAUAAUCUAUAGUGUAGGAUGAGGCUAUAUUGUAGCAGCUAGUUGGUGAGGUAAUGGCUCACCAAAGCUACGACGAAUAACUGGUGUGAGAGGAUGAUCAGUCACACUAGAACUGAGACACGGUCCAGACUCCUACGGGAGUCAGCAGUAGGGAAUACUGCUCAAUGGACGAAACCCUGAAGCAGCAACGCCGCGUGGAGGAUGACACUUCUCGGACCGUAAACUCCUUUUGUUAGGGAAACGAUACCUAACGAAUAAGCACAGGCUGACCCCGCGCCAGCAGCCACGAUAAUUC
rnacentral:rRNA from 1 species